CCAGUGGCGCAACUGGUUAGCGCGCGGUACUUAUAAUGCCGAGGUUGUGAGUUCGAUCCUCACCUGAACGU
rnacentral:tRNA from 1 species